rnacentral:rRNA from 1 species
AUUGAACGCUGGCGGCAGGCCUAACACAUGCAAGUCGAGCGGAUGAAGGGAGCUUGCUCCUGGAUUCAGCGGCGGACGGGUGAGUAAUGCCUAGGAAUCUGCCUGGUAGUGGGGGAUAACGUCCGGAAACGGGCGCUAAUACCGCCUACGUCCUGCGGGAGAAAGUGGGGGAUCUUCGGACCUCACGCUAUCAGAUGAGCCUAGGUCGGAUUAGCUAGUUGGUGGGGUAAAGGCCUACCAAGGCGACGAUCCGUAACUGGUCUGAGAGGAUGAUCAGUCACACUGGAACUGGGACACGGUCCAUACUCCUACGGGAGGCAGCAGUGGGGAAUAUUGGACAGAGGGCGAAAGCCUGAUCCAGCCAGGCCGCGUGUGUGAAGAAGGUCUUCGGAUUGUAAAGCACUUUAAGGUGGGAGGAAGGGCAGUAAGUUAAUACCUUGCUGUUUUGACGGUACCAACAGAAGAAGCACCGGCUAACUUCGUG